rnacentral:rRNA from 1 species
UGGGGGAUAUUGCACAAUGGGCGAAAGCCUGAUGCAGCGACGCCGCGUGGGGGAUGAAUGCCUUCGGGUUGUAAACUUCUUUUGCUCUGAACAAGGCAUGCCUUUGGGGUGUGCUGAGUGUAGGGGUUGAUUAGCGCCGGCUAACUACGUGCCAGCAGCCGCGGUAAUACGUAGGGCGCGAGCGUUGUCCGGAAUUAUUGGGCGUAAAGGGCUUGUAGGUGGCUGGUUGCGUCUGUCGUGAAAGCUCAUGGCUUAACUGUGGGUUUGCGGUGGGUACGGGCUGGCUUGAGUGCAGUAGGGGAGGCUGGAAUUCCUGGUGUAGCGGUGGAAUGCGCAGAUAUCAGGAGGAAUACCGGUGGCGAAGGCGGGUCUCUGGGCUGUUACUGACGCUGAGGAGCGAAAGCGUGGGGAGCGAACAGG